rnacentral:rRNA from 1 species
CAGCCGCCGCGGUAAAACGAAGGGUGCAAGCGUUACUCGGAAUUACUGGGCGUAAAGCGUGCGUAGGCGGUGAGUUAAGUCUGCUGUGAAAUCCCCGGGCUCAACCUGGGAAUGGCAGUGGAUACUGGCUCGCUAGAGUGUGUCAGAGGAUGGUGGAAUUCCCGGUGUAGCGGUGAAAUGCGUAGAGAUCGGGAGGAACAUCAGUGGCGAAGGCGGCCAUCUGGGACAACACUGACGCUGAGGCACGAAAGCGUGGGGAGCAAACAGGAUUAGAUACCCCCGUAGUCCCUGUCUCUUAUAA